rnacentral:rRNA from 1 species
GACAGAGGAUGCAAGCGUUAUCCGGAAUGAUUGGGCGUAAAGCGUCUGUAGGUGGCUUUUUAAGUCUGCCGUCAAAUCCCAGGGCUUAACCCUGGACAGGCGGUGGAAACUACCAAGCUGGAGUACGGUAGGGGCAGGGGGAAUUUCCGGUGGAGCGGUGAAAUGCGUAGAGAUCGGAAAGAACACCAACGGCGAAAGCACUCUGCUGGGCCGACACUGACACUAAUGGACGAAAGCUAGGGGAGCGAAUGGG